CAGCCGCCGCGGUAAUGCGAAGGGGGCUAGCGUUGUUCGGAAUUACUGGGCGUAAAGGGCGCGUAGGCGGCCAUUCAAGUUAGAUGUGAAAGCCCUGGGCUGAACCUAGGAAUUGCAUUUGAUACUGUUUGGCUUGAGUUCGGGAGAGGUGAGUGGAAUUCCCAGUGUAGAGGUGAAAUUCGUAGAUAUUGGGAAGAACACCAGUGGCGAAGGCGGCUCACUGGACCGACACUGACGCUGAGGCGCGAAAGCGUGGAGAGCAAACAGGAUUAGAUACCCGCGUAGUCCCUGUCUCUUAUAU
rnacentral:rRNA from 1 species